AUGCUGACCCUACCCAACAUGGUGGGCCCCUUGGGAGUUCUUAAACAGAGGUAUGCAUAUGUCUGUGUGUGUGCACAUGCGCGCGCGCAUAUCUGUUGGGAGGGAGUUCAGCCUGGGUUACUUUCCCAAACACUGGUGUCAAAGCUUCCUGACUGCCCAAAGGGAUGGACUAGAACUCUCCCUCACCUCCAUGCCUUUACAAAUGCUGUUUCCUUUACUCGAAAUUACCAUCUUCCUGCCUCCCCACGCUGCAUCUGCAAAAGUGCCGUUUGCUCUGGGAUAGUGUCCUCAAGAGCCUCACCUCCAGGCAGAAUUGGACACUCCCUCCCAAGCCCCUCCCUGUUGAAGCAUAAGUCACCUGACAAGUCAUCUGCUUUCUUGCCCAUCCCCUCCACUCUCUCUAGACUGAGCUUUCCAUAUGCGCCUGACACAGUUCUGAUUCUAGAAGAUCUCCCCUGCAUGGCCCUUGUGAAGGAAGGAACACACAUGUCAAAGAGGGAAGCAGCAGCAACGACUCAGGCCAGAGACACGGAAGGCCAAGCUGUAUGGUUCCACCACCAAUUUUCCAAGGCCUCACAGAAAGGUGUGCCAAUACUUGCUGCAGACCGAAGUCCAGGAAAGAAAUUUACAACCCUUGUGUCUGAAUGUUCUCACUUCUCUCCCCCUCUCCUCCCUCCCCUCUUCAUUUCCCCUCUCCCUUUCCCUCUCCUUCCUCCUACAGCUGGGUGGGCCCAGAGAAGUGGAUGCUAUCCAUUUCCUUUAUCUAAGAUCUUCCGCCUUUCUGACUCCAGCCUCAUGCGUAAGCUCUGGGGACAGGCAUAGGAACCCUCCCAAGGCCAGAGCUUUCUUGUGGGUAUGCCUCCAAUGGGCCACAGCUAUGCAGCAAUGUGGGCUGGUCACUCCUGUGGAAGAACCUCACUUACAUCUCCUUGGAAGGUGGCCCUCUCAAGCGGGCCCCCUCUGGCAGCAAGGACAAUAAUCUUCCCCCAGCAGCCAGCUGUGCUGCUUCCCAUUGUGGACAAAGGCGUGUGUGUUCUGUGUGCCCAGGGAGCACAGAGCACGGGCCACAAGGGGUUAAGCAGGGCAAGGAGAGCAGGAGGGAGCUCCUGGUGGACACAGCAUCAGAUGGCAGCCCUGAAUCGCUCCCUUCCUGCACAUGUACAGAACCAUUUAAUCUAUUGUCCAAAUCAGUACAUUUUCUUCUUUUCAGAUCAACUUUAAUAGAGUAAAAUGUAGCCAUUUUAAAUGUAUGGUACUAUGAGUGACUGAUCUACCAGUGUAACUACUGCUACAACCAAGAUAGAAAGCCUUGCCAUUACCCCCCAAAGUUACUAUGUACCCUUUUGUAGUCACCCCCCACCCUUAGUCCCACUGCUCUCCCAGACAACUACUCAUCUGCUUUCCAUAACUACAAAUUAGUUGUGUCUGUUCUAGAAUUUCAAAUAAAUGAAAUCAAUCACACA
rnacentral:lncRNA from 1 species